UACCAGACUCCUACGGGAGGCAGCAGUGGGGAAUAUUGCACAAUGGGGGGAACCCUGAUGCAGCGACGCCGCGUGGGUGAAGAAGCGCCUCGGCGCGUAAAGCCCCGUCAGCAGGGAAGAAAAUGACGGUACCUGAAGAAGAAGCCCCGGCUAACUACGUGCCAGCAGCCGCGGUAAUACGUAGGGGGCAAGCGUUAUCCGGAUUUACUGGGUGUAAAGGGAGCGUAGACGGCAGUGCAAGUCCGGAGUGAAAGCCCGGGGCUCAACCCUGGGACUGCUCUGGAAACUGUAAAGCUGGAGUGCAGGAGGGGCAGGCGGAAUUCCUGGUGUAGCGGUGAAAUGCGUAGAUAUCAGGAGGAACACCGGCGGCGAAGGCGGCCUGCUGGACCGUAACUGACGUUGAGGCUCGAAAGCGUGGGGAGCAAACAGGAUUAGAUACCCUAGUA
rnacentral:rRNA from 1 species